GUCGAGAAUCUUUCGCAAUGGGGGCAACCCUGACGAAGCGACGCCGCGUGCAGGAUGAAGGUCUUCGGAUUGUAAACUGCUGUCUUUGGGGAGCAACCGGCGGGGUGUUAACAGCGCCCCGACCUGAUAGUACCCGAGGAGGAAGCCACGGCUAACUCUGUGCCAGCAGCCGCGGUAAUACAGAGGUGGCAAGCGUUGUUCGGAUUUACUGGGCGUAAAGGGUGCGUAGGCGGUUCCGUAUGUCGGGUGUGAAAGCCCACGGAUCAUCCGUGGAACGGCACUCGAAACUGCGGGGCUAGAGUGCAGGAGAGGAGGGCGGAAUUCUCGGUGUAGCGGUGAAAUGCGUUGAUAUCGAGAGGAACGCCGGUGGCGAAGGCGGCCCUCUGGACUGCCACUGACGCUGAGGCACGAAAGCUGGGGUAGCAAACAGGAUUAGAAACCCUGGUAGUCC
rnacentral:rRNA from 1 species